rnacentral:rRNA from 1 species
GACAGAGGGUGCAAUCGUUGUUCGGAAUCAUUGGGCGUAAAGGGCGCGUAGGCGGUUUCGUAAGUCGAAUGUGAAAGCCCAGGGCUCAACCUUGGAAGUGCAUCCGAAACUGUGAAACUUGAAUCCUGGAGAGGGUGGUGGAAUUCCCAGUGUAGAGGUGAAAUUCGUAGAUAUUGGGAGGAACACCGGUGGCGAAGGCGACCACCUGGACAGAGAUUGACGCUGAGGCGCGAGAGCGUGGGGAGCAAACAGG